UCAAACCAAACUCGAGCCUGUCCUCUGUGAGCCGUCCGUCAUCGCGUCCGGCGUCCCCGACCCCUGGUCGUGCGUGCCACCGGUCUCCGCCGCCGCCGUGCGCCGGUGACUCAGCGGAGUCCGCCGCUUGUGUUUCCCAAUUUCCCAAUCGCACGCUUCCUCCUCUCUUCUCUUCUCUCUUUAAGAAAAAUCUGGCCCCUCUCCCUUUCUUCCAUGCUCUCGGUUGCCGCCGCCUGGCGAUUCCCCAUGGCCAAGGCCGAGGGGCCUGCCAAUCGGCCAUACAGGUUGAACACUUGAACGAGUACCAAGGCAAACUCAUGUUCAGGACAUACAGGAACGUGUUGAUAUGCAGAAACAAUGAAAUUACCAUACGACUAAAUAACAGGUUUCGUGAAUGACGAGUCUAUAUCUUGGAGAUCCAAUCUUCUAACAAAAUCAGAAAUUGCCAGGGACUGGACAAGCCAAGGUUACAGACUAUUUGGGCUAUGUCAAGGAGGAUGACACACUGCGGAUGAAAAAAGAGUAAGAGGCAGAAACAAACAACGCUUAUCAUAGAAAAAAGCAAACGAGCAUGAGCGCCACUUUUGUUGCUGUUGCGUUGGCAUUCCGUGCCUAUCUCAGCAUGUUCGUUUCUCAUGAUCGAAACUAGACAGACGCUAAAGAACAUUCAGAGUUCAUUUCGGGGGACGAAACUUUCAAUCUGCAUAUACGAAACUGACCUUGUAAA